ACUCAACUGGACCUUCAAUCAUGAAGAGAUUUUUCCUCCUUUGCUUCCUUGCUGCUUCUUUAGUACUCAUGGCUGCACCAGGAUUUUCCAGACCCCCCAAACCACAUACAUCCACAGAAUGUGAGAAGUGGGGGGCAAUAUGUGGCCUUUUCACAUGUUUCUCACCUUAUGUUCCCUUUGGACAGUGUAAAAGUUGGCGUCCCUGCUGCGUUCGAUUCUAGGAAACCAUGAACUACAGUAUGUCUGUUUAAAAAUGCCUGGAGGACAACAUCUGACUUCUGCAAUUGCUAAAUCAUGCUAUCUAAUGAAACAUACAUUCUUUGAUGGGCAAGUGGAAAAAGACACCAGAGGAAGCUAUGAAAAACAAUAUUGCUUUUAUACAUUACAUAAUUUGUUUGAUCA